GGCUCGCGAGGCUGUGAGCAGCCACAGUGCUCUGCUCAGAAGCCCGGGGCUCGUCAGUCAAGCUGGUUCUCAGUUCGCACUUGGCAGCACGGGCAGGCGAGUGGCCCCUAGUUCUGGGAGCAGCAGCGCUCCUGUCCUGGUCCUACAGCCCCAAGCCUCGCCUGCCCGCCCAGCGCCAGGAUGGCCACCAUCACCUGCACCCGCUUCACGGAAGAGUACCAGCUCUUCGAGGAACUAGGAAAGGGAGCAUUCUCAGUGGUGCGCAGGUGUGUGAAGGUGCUAGCCGGCCAGGAAUAUGCUGCCAAGAUUAUCAACACAAAGAAGCUCUCGGCCAGAGAUCACCAGAAGCUGGAGCGUGAAGCCCGCAUCUGCCGCCUGCUGAAGCACCCCAACAUCGG